GAUGAACGCUAGCGGCAGGCCUAAUACAUGCAAGUCGAACGGUGUCUUCGGACAUAGUGGCGCACGGGUGCGUAACACGUAUGCAACCUACCUUACAUUGGGGGAUAGCCUUUCGAAAGGGAGAUUAAUACCGCAUAAGACAGUAACUAGGCAUCUAGUAGCUGUUAAAGAUUUAUCGAUGUAAGCUGGGCAUGCGUCCAAUUAGCUAGUUGGUAAGGUAACGGCUCACCAAGGCAAUGAUUGGUAGGGGAACUGAGAGGUCAAUCCCCCACACUGGCACUGAGAUACGGGCCAGACUCCUACGGGAGGCAGCAGUAGGGAAUAUUGGGCAAUGGACGCAAGUCUGACCCAGCCAUGCCGCGUGCAGGAUGAAGGCGUUAUGCGUUGUAAACUGCUUUUAUACAGGAAGAAACGACUCUUGCGAGAGGCAUUGACGGUACUGUAUGAAUAAGCACCGGCUAACUCCGUGCCAGCCGCCGCCGUAACAC
rnacentral:rRNA from 1 species